UACGGAGGGGGUUAGCGUUGUUCGGAAUGACUGGGCGUAAAGCGCGCGUCGGCGGAUCAGGAAGUUGGGGGUGAAAUCCCGGGGCUCAACCCCGGAAUGGCCUUCAAAACUCCUGGUCUUGAGUUCGAGAGAGGUGAGUGGAAUUCCGAGUGUAGAGGUGAAAUUCGUAGAUAUUCGGAGGAACACCAGUGGCGAAGGCGGCUCACUGGCUCGACACUGACGCUGAGGUGCGAAAGCGUGGGGAGCAAACAGG
rnacentral:rRNA from 1 species